rnacentral:rRNA from 1 species
UACGAAGGGGGCUAGCGUUGUUCGGAAUUACUGGGCGUAAAGCGCACGUAGGCGGAUAUUUAAGUCAGGGGUGAAAUCCCGGGGCUCAACCUCGGAACUGCCUUUGAUACAGCAAGUCUUGAGUUCGAGAGAGGUGGGUGGAAUUCCUAGUGUAGAGGUGAAAUUCGUAGAUAUUAGGAAGAACACCGGUGGCGAAGGCGGCCCACUGGCUCGACACUGACGCUGAGGUGCGAAAGCGUGGGGAGCAAACAGG